rnacentral:rRNA from 1 species
AACUAUAACGGUCCUAAGGUAGCGAAAUUCCUUGUCAGGUAAGUUCUGACCCGCACGAAUGGCGUAAUGAUUUGGGCACUGUCUCGACAGCCCGCCCGGCGAAAUUGUAGUACUGGUGAAGAUGCCAGUUACCCGCAACUAGACGGAAAGACCCCAUGGAGCUUUACUGCAGUUUAAUACUGGGAAUCGGUAAUGCAUGUACAGGAUAGGUGGGAGACUAGGAAGCAUGGUCGUCAGGUCAUGUGGAGUCACCGGUGGGAUACCACUCUUGUAUUGCUGAUUUCCUAACCUGCGGCCGUGAAUCCGGUCGGGGGACACUGUUAGACGGGCAGUUUGACUGGGGCGGUCGCCUCCAAAAGAGUAACGGAGGCGCUCAAAGGUUCGUUCAGCACGGACGGAAAUCGUGCAUUGAGUGUAAACGCAUAAACGAGCCUAACUGCGAGACCGACGGGUCGAGCAGUAACGAAAGUUGGAGUUAGUGAUCCGGUGGUAUGUGAGUGGAAAUGCCAUCGCUCAACGGAUAAAAGCUACCCUGGGGAUAACAGGCUGAUCUCCCCCAAGCGUCCACAGCGACGGGGAGGUUUGGCACCUCGAUGUCGGCUCGUCGCAUCCUGGGGCUGUAUUCGGUCCCAAGGGUUUGGCUGUUCGCCAAUUAAAGCGGCACGCGAGCUGGGUUCAGAACGUCGUGAGACAGUUCGGUCCCUAUCUGUUGCGGGCGUAAGAGAUUUGAAGGGAGCUGUCCUUAGUACGAGAGGACCGGGAUGGACGUACCUCUGGUGCACCAGUUGUCCUGCCAAGGGCAUAGCUGGGUAGCUAUGUACGGACGAGAUAAACGCUGAAAGCAUCUAAGCGUGAAACUCCCCCUAAGAUGAGAUCUCUCAUCCAUUAUGGAGUAAGGGCCCAGAAAGACGAUCUGGUUGAUAGGCCGGAGGUGGAAGUGCAGUAAUGUAUGGAGCUGACCGGUACUAAUAGCCCGAGGGCUUGACCUA